GACGAACGCUGGCGGCGUGCUUAACACAUGCAAGUCGAACGGAAAGGCCCUGCUUUUGUGGGGUGCUCGAGUGGCGAACGGGUGAGUAACACGUGAGUAACCUGCCCUUGACUUUGGGAUAACUUCAGGAAACUGGGGCUAAUACCGGAUAGGAGCUCCUGCUGCAUGGUGGGGGUGGGAACGUUUCGGCGGUUGGGGAUGGACUCGCGGCUUAUCAGCUUGUUGGUGGGGGAGUGGCUUACCAAGGCUUUGACGGGUAGCCGGCCUGAGAGGGUGACCGGCCACAUUGGGACUGAGAUACGGCCCAGACUCCUACGGGAGGCAGCAGUGGGGAAUAUUGCACAAUGGGCGGAAGCCUGAUGCAGCAACGCCGCGUGCGGGAUGACGGCCUUCGGGUUGUAAACCGCUUUCGCCUGUGACGAAGCGUGAGUGACGGUAAUGGGUAAAGAAGCACCGGCUAACUACGUG
rnacentral:rRNA from 1 species